GACGAACGCUGGCGGCGUGCUUAACACAUGCAAGUCGAACGAUGAACCUCGAAAUGGUUUCUUCGGAAAGCUUUUUGAGAGGAUUAGUGGCGAACGGGUGAGUAACGCGUGAGAAACCUGCCUUAGACAAGGGGAUAGCCUCGGGAAACCGUGAUUAAUACCCUAUGAGACUCCACUUCCGCGUGUAAGAGAAGUUACAGCUAUUGCGGUCUAAGAUGGGCUCGCGUCUGAUUCGCUAGUUGGUGAGAUAAAAGCCCACCAAGGCGACGAUCAGUAACCGGGUAGUGAGAGAGAGCGCACACAUUGGAACGGAGACACGGUCGAGAAUCUUAGGGGAGGCGGGAAAGGGGAAUAUUGCAAAAUGGCGUGAAGCAUGAAGGAGCGAGGCCGCUUGAGCGAUGAAGGAAGGCGUGACGUAAAGCUCUGUCCUAGCAGAAGAUAAUGACGGUAACCAAGGAGGAAGCACCGGCUAACUACGUG
rnacentral:rRNA from 1 species